rnacentral:rRNA from 1 species
UACGGAGGGUGCAAACGUUGCUCGGAAUCAUUGGGCGUAAAGCGCACGUAGGCGGCCUGACAAGUCGGGUGUGAAAGCCCUGGGCUCAACCCAGGAAGUGCACUCGAAACUGCCAGGCUUGAAUAUGGAAGAGGGUCGCGGAAUUCCCGGUGUAGAGGUGAAAUUCGUAGAUAUUCGGAAGAACACCAGUGGCGAAGGCGGCUCACUGGACUGGUAUUGACGCUGAGGUGCGAAAGCGUGGGGAGCAAACAGG